CCUACGGGGCGCAGCAGGUGCGAAAAUUCCGCAAUGCGUGCAAGCGCGACGGAGUGACCCCCAGUGCCGAUGGUCUAACGAUCGUCGACUUUUCUGGAGUGUAAAAAGCUCUGGGUAAUAAGGGCCGGGUAAGACUGGUGCCAGCCGCCGCGGUAACACCAGCGGCUCAAGUGGUAGUCGAUUUUAUUGGGUCUAAAGCGUCCGUAGCCGGAUCGUCAAGUCCCUUGUGAAAUCGGGCGGCUUAACCGCUCGGCUUGCAAGAGAAACUGACGUUCUUGGGGUCGGCAGGCGCCGAGGGUACUCCGGAGGUAGCGGUGAAAUGCUAUAAUCUUCGGGGGACCGCCGGUGGCGAAAGCGCUCGGCGGGGCCGAACCCGACGGUGAGGGACGAAGGCCAGGGGAGCGAACCGGAUUAGAUACCCGGGUAGUCCUGGCUGUAAAGUAUGUGGGCCAGGUGCCAGACGUUCCUCGAGAGCGCUUGGUGCCGAAGGGAAGCCGUUAAGCCCACCACCUGGGGAGUACGGUCGCAAGACUGAAACUUAAAGAAAUUGGCGGGGGAGCACCACAAGGGGUGGAGCCUGCGGUUUAAUUGGAUUCAACGCCGGACAUCUCACCGGGGGCGACGGCAGAGUGAAGGCCAAGUUGACGACUUUGCCGGACUCGCCGAGAGGUGGUGCAUGGCCGCCGUCAGCUCGUAUCGUGAGACGUCCUGUCAAGUCAGGUAACGAGCGAGACCCUUAUCCUUAGUUGCCAGCGGAUCCCUCUGGGAUGCCGGGCACUCUAAGGAGACCGCUGUCGAUAAGGCAGAGGAAGGAGAGGGCGACGGUAGGUCCGUAUGCCCCGAAUCCCCCGGGCAACACGCGGGCUACAAUGCGCGGGACAGAGGGCUGCGACCCCGAGAGGGGAAGCCGAUCCCUAAACCUGCGCCUAGUUCGGAUCGAGGGCUGCAACUCGCCCUCGUGAAGCUGGAAUCCCUAGUAAUCGCGUGUCACUAUCGCGCGGUGAAUACGUCCCUGCUCCUUGCACACACCGCCCGUCAAGCCGUCCGAGUGGGAUUUGGAUGAGGCUUACUCGACAUGAGUGGGUCAAAUCCGGGUUCUGCAAGGAGGGCUAAGUCGUAACAAGGUAACC
rnacentral:rRNA from 1 species